GAAACAUCCAGAAUACUCGCGAGGCAAUUACGUCCAGUUCAUAGUUUAAUGGCAGUUUCUGUGAAAACCCUUAAUCUCCUCAGCACUAUAUCAGUGAUACGUGCACUAAGUAUAUCCUAAUUAAAGAGAUACAAAUUUAAGGGGGAUUUUACUGGGGGAAAAAUAUAAUUAAAAAUGAGGGGAUUACAAAAGGUUCAUACAGAAUAAGCAGCUGAACCAAUUAUUUCUUAGUUUGAAUUCAUUUAUACUUCUCUGGAAAAAAUGUUUCUCAAGCCAAAUUGUACCAUUAAGGAUUGUCACAGGGGGCGAAUUAUCCCUUUCUGUGAGGGUGCAGCAUUCGGAAAUUACGGCAUUAUUUUUCCCGUAAAGCAGUUUAAGAAUAAGCAAACUUAACGACAAGCAGACGCACGUAGUGCAACUUCGGGAAGGAGGGAGGUGUGAGGGGAAAAAAAAUAGAAAAAGGCAACGUUGACCUUUCGAACGGCUUUUUGUGAACAUGGGGAACAGAAACGCUGAAACACAGAUGCCGGAGCUGACAGUGGUAAUUACCGGAGACAAAGCAACACGGCGGGCCGAGAAGCGUUUAGAUGCCGGAACACGGCACACCACCAGCGGCGGCCAGUACAUAUUUUCCGCCGUGUUCCCGGAAGACAGCAUCCAGUCGGCCUGCCAGUCCCUCUCGCUCCUUGGGCGAGGGGAAAAGCAGGCAAAUCGCAAACAGUUAACAUGUUUCUGACAGGGCGCCGCUUCCCGUGUUGACAUAAAACUUUAGGUCAUUCUGGCCGGCUCGCAAGAUUCCUGAUUCGUAACUGCACUCCUGCCAAGUGUCUAGCAGACGGUCCGCUCUCCCGCUCUUUUGUUUAGCGAGGGGAGAGCGCCGCAUUUGUCUGGGACGGCCCACAGACAGGAAAGGAUGAUGUCAGGUGCGCUGGAUUCUGUGUGCCUCACUGCCGCUGACUCCAGCAGAAAACCAUUAUGUUAAGCUGAGCUCCCCCAGGUUCGAGCCCCCCAGGAUCCAUCACUUGACUGGGACGACGCCUCCGAUUCCCCGAGCACACCGAUCACUCCCCUCUGCGUACAUGUGGCGCGUUCCGGCUCAGGGAAUAACUGAAGCCGAGAGUUACCAGUCACAUGCAUUAACAAUCGAACGGGGGAUCCACUUUGUUCCUGUCUCAUUUUGUUGUUUGGUAGACACAUGCUUUUGAUUUGGGACAAUAAGAAAGAAGAAAAAUAUGAUGUAGGAAACAUCAAGUUCUCCAGAUUUAUGUAGCCGCCUGCCUCCAAGCCACUAACCGGACAAUGGAGCUGAUUGGACAGGGGCCUAAAACACCAGCAGAACACGCAGAGAAAAAGACGAGAAAAAACAUGGGCGUCCUCAGUCUGUCAGGAAUCACGUCAACAUUUUCCUAAUUUAGCAGACGUUUAGCCGGUGGGGGAUGAGGACACAUUCAUUAUUCCUACAGCCAAGUGGCACAGCUCAACAGUCCUUGCUAGAGCCAGGCCGUCCCGUUUUGGAGGGGCGGAUACCAGUAUGGGACGGAUCUUUCAUCUACACAGGCUGCACAGUAGUGCACACAUGUACCUCAGAUGUACAAAAAAAAAAAUGCCAUUACAUUUUAUAAACU